GGGCUCGUGGCCUAGCGGAUAUGGCGCAAGCCUCCUAAGCUUGUGAUCGGGGGUCCGAAUCCCCCCGAGCCCG
rnacentral:tRNA from 1 species